UUCUAACAUUGUGCCUCCAGCAACGUGGCCUGGACUGGAGCCACGCAGCAGUCUGACAACCUGUUAGGCGAGUCUCCUAUCAAUUAGGCUGCAGCUGUCAUUGCAUCUAUUCUCAGCCUCCUUGAUGAAAGGCUCGCACGGAGAACCGUACGCUGUGCAUUAGGAGCAGCAGAGAUCCUCUGGGAUCUGAACAGAGAAGGACUGUUUGAGAUGUGCACUCUAUGCUUGUCAAAGAGAAGCAGAGUGGAAACAGUUUCUCAGUGGAGAGUUUGGGACAGAUUAUAAUUUCAGAUGUGUGUCAGGCCAAUGCAAUAUGCCAGUGAAAAUGUCUUCAAGCAGGCAGCAAUGGCUGGACCAGAGUCAGGCCCUCACACCAGCUGAACUUUAGCAGGGUUGAAUAAAAAGGUGAGAAUCUCUACUUCUCUAAGCA
rnacentral:lncRNA from 1 species